rnacentral:misc_RNA from 1 species
GAUGAAGAACGUAGCGAAAUGCGAUACGUAAUGUGAAUUGCAAAUUCAGUGAAUCAUCGAGUCUUUGAACGCACAUUGCGCCCCCUGGUAUUCCGGGGGGCAUGCCUGUCCGGGCGUCAUUGCUGCCCUCAAGCACGGCUUGUGUGUUGGGCCCCGUCCUCCGAUCCCGGGGGACGGGCCCGAAAGGCAGCGGCGGCACCGCGUCCGGUCCUCGAGCGUAUGGGGCUUUGUCACCCGCUCUGUAGGCCCGGCCGGCGCUUGCCGAUCAACCCAAAUUUUUAUCCAGGUUGACCUCGGAUCAGGUAGGGAUACCCGCUGAACUUAAGCAUAUCAAUAAGCGGAGGA